ACAGCAGUCGCCACGGGAAUACAGAGGGUGCGAGCGUUAAUCGGAUUUACUGGGCGUAAAGCGUGCGUAGGCGGCUUUUUAAGUCGGAUGUGAAAUCCCUGAGCUUAACUUAGGAAUUGCAUUCGAUACUGGGAAGCUAGAGUAUGGGAGAGGAUGGUAGAAUUCCAGGUGUAGCGGUGAAAUGCGUAGAGAUCUGGAGGAAUACCGAUGGCGAAGGCAGCCAUCUGGCCUAAUACUGACGCUGAGGUACGAAAGCAUGGGGAGCAAACAGGAUUAGAUACCCGAGUAGUCCCUGUCUCUUAUAC
rnacentral:rRNA from 1 species